GGGCCCGCACAAGCGGUGGAGUAUGUGGUUUAAUUCGAUGCAACGCGAAGAACCUUACCAGGGUUUGACAUCCUGCGAAUCUCUUGGAAACGAGAGAGUGCCUUCGGGAACGCAGUGACAGGUGGUGCAUGGCUGUCGUCAGCUCGUGUCGUGAGAUGUUGGGUUAAGUCCCGCAACGAGCGCAACCCUUAUCCUAUGUUGCCAGCAUUUAGUUGGGGACUCGUAGGAGACUGCCGGGGUCAACUCGGAGGAAGGUGGGGAUGACGUCAAGUCAUCAUGCCCCUUAUGCCCAGGGCUGCAAACACGCUACAAUGGCUGGUACAGAGGGCUGCGAACCCGCGAGGGCAAGCG
rnacentral:rRNA from 1 species